rnacentral:rRNA from 1 species
UACGAAGGGGGCGAGCGUUGUUCGGAAUUACUGGGCGUAGAGGGCGCGUAGGCGGCCCCUUUUGUCGCGUGUGAAAGCCCCGGGCUCAACCUGGGAACGGCGCGCGAAACGGGGGGGCUUGAGUUCGGGAGAGGAGAGUGGAAUUCCCAGUGUAGAGGUGAAAUUCGUAGAUAUUGGGAAGAACACCGGUGGCGAAGGCGGCAUCCUGGACCGACACUGACGCUGAGGAGCGAAAGCCAGGGGAGCAAACGGG